rnacentral:rRNA from 1 species
CACACCGCCCGUCACAUCACGAAAGUCGGUUGCACUCGAAGUCGUUGAGCUAACCCGUAAGGGGGGGCAGGCGCCUACGGUGUGAUCGAUGAUUGGGGUG